UAUGGCCAUAUCACGUUGAAACGCCGAUUCCGUAUGAUCACCGAAGUUAAGCAACAUCGAGUAACGAGAUAGGUGACCGCUUGGGAAUACUAGGUGCUGUAAG